rnacentral:tRNA from 1 species
AUCUAGAUAGCUUAUACUUUAGAGCAUAGCACUGAAGAUGCUAGGGAAACUUAAGGUUUCUAGAUA